rnacentral:SRP_RNA from 1 species
GGAGAGCGGUACACGACCAGCUCCCUUCAAAUCCCCCAGGACCGGAAGGUAGCAAGGGUAGAAGGUUGUAGCGGUGCGAUGUAUUUGCUCUCCUUU